rnacentral:rRNA from 1 species
GAUCAUGGCUCAGGAUGAACGCUAGCUACAGGCUUAACACAUGCAAGUCGAGGGGCAUCGGGAAGAAAGCUUGCUUUCUUUGCUGGCGACCGGCGCACGGGUGAGUAACACGUAUCCAACCUGCCCUUUACUCGGGGAUAGCCUUUCGAAAGAAAGAUUAAUACCCGAUGGGAUAAUUAUUCCGCAUUGGUUUGAUUUAAUUAAAGGACUUACCGGGUAAAGGAGUGGGGAUGCGUUCCAUUAGGUUGUUGGUGAGGUAACG